rnacentral:rRNA from 1 species
UGUUUGAUCCUGGCUCAGGACGAACGCUGGCGGCGUGCCUAAUACAUGCAAGUGGAACGCAGUUGCUUCACCGGAGCUUGCUCCACCGAAGUAACUGAGUCGCGAACGGGUGAGUAACGCGUAGGUAACCUGCCUGGUAGCGGGGGAUAACUAUUGGAAACGAUAGCUAAUACCGCAUAAUAGUGAAUAACACAUGUUAUUGAUUUGAAAGGGGCAAUUGCUCCACUACCAGAUGGACCUGCGUUGUAUUAGCUAGUUGGUAGGGUAACGGCCUACCAAGGCCUCGAUACAUAGCCGACCUGAGAGGGUGAUCGGCCACACUGGGACUGAGACACGGCCCAGACUCCUACGGGAGGCAGCAGUAGGGAAUCUUCGGCAAUGGGGGGAACCCUGACCGAGCAACGCCGCGUGAGUGAAGAAGGUUUUCGGAUCGUAAAGCUCUGUUGCAAGAGAAGAACGGCCAUAGGAGUGGAAAAUCUAUGGAGUGACGGUAACUUACCAGAAAGGGACGGCUAACUACGUGCCAGCAGCCGCGGUAAUACGUAGGUCCCGAGCGUUGUCCGGAUUUAUUGGGCGUAAAGCGAGCGCAGGCGGUUAGAUAAGUCUGAAGUAAAAGGCAGUGGCUCAACCAUUGUAUGCUUUGGAAACUGUUUAACUUGAGUGCAGAAGGGGAGAGUGGAAUUCCAUGUGUAGCGGUGAAAUGCGUAGAUAUAUGGAGGAACACCGGUGGCGAAAGCGGCUCUCUGGUCUGUAACUGACGCUGAGGCUCGAAAGCGUGGGUAGCGAACAGGAUUAGAUACCCUGGUAGUCCACGCCGUAAACGAUGAGUGCUAGGUGUUGGGUCCUUUCCGGGACUCAGUGCCGCAGCUAACGCAUUAAGCACUCCGCCUGGGGAGUACGGCCGCAAGGCUGAAACUCAAAGGAAUUGACGGA